rnacentral:tRNA from 1 species
CUGGUGGCUAAGACAGUAAAGAAUCUGCCUGCAAUGCAGAAUACCUGGGUUCAAUUCCUGGGCCAGA